rnacentral:tRNA from 1 species
GCUCUUGUAGCUCAAUUGGUUAGAGCACCUGUUUAGCAAGCGGGAGGCCUUGAGUUCAUAUCUCUACAAGAGCA